rnacentral:rRNA from 1 species
GACGAACGCUGGCGGCGUGCCUAAUACAUGCAAGUCGAGCGAGCUUGCCUAGAUGAAUUUGGUGCUUGCACCAAAUGAAACUAGAUACAAGCGAGCGGCGGACGGGUGAGUAACACGUGGGUAACCUGCCCAAGAGACUGGGAUAACACCUGGAAACAGAUGCUAAUACCGGAUAACAACACUAGACGCAUGUCUAGAGUUUAAAAGAUGGUUCUGCUAUCACUCUUGGAUGGACCUGCGGUGCAUUAGCUAGUUGGUAAGGUAACGGCUUACCAAGGCAAUGAUGCAUAGCCGAGUUGAGAGACUGAUCGGCCACAUUGGGACUGAGACACGGCCCAAACUCCUACGGGAGGCAGCAGUAGGGAAUCUUCCACAAUGGACGCAAGUCUGAUGGAGCAACGCCGCGUGAGUGAAGAAGGGUUUCGGCUCGUAAAGCUCUGUUGGUAGUGAAGAAAGAUAGAGGUAGUAACUGGCCUUUAUUUGACGGUAAUUACUUAGAAAGUCACGGCUAACUACGUGCCAGCAGCCGCGGUAAUACGUAGGUGGCAAGCGUUGUCCGGACUUAUUGGGCGUAAAGCGAGUGCAGGCGGUUCAAUAAGUCUGAUGUGAAAGCCUUCGGCUCAACCGGAGAAUUGCAUCAGAAACUGUUGAACUUGAGUGCAGAAGAGGAGAGUGGAACUCCAUGUGUAGCGGUGGAAUGCGUAGAUAUAUGGAAGAACACCAGUGGCGAAGGCGGCUCUCUGGUCUGCAACUGACGCUGAGGCUCGAAAGCAUGGGUAGCGAACAGG